rnacentral:rRNA from 1 species
CCUACGGGGGGCUGCAGUGGGGAAUAUUGGGCAAUGGACGAGAGUCUGAACCAGCCAAGUAGCGUGAAGGAUGACUGCCCUAUGGGUUGUAAACUUCUUUUAUAUGGGAAUAAAAUGUUCCACGUGUGGGAUUUUGUAUGUACCAUAUGAAUAAGGAUCGGCUAACUCCGUGCCAGCAGCCGCGGUAAUACGGAGGAUCCGAGCGUUAUCCGGAUUUAUUGGGUUUAAAGGGAGCGUAGGUGGAUUGUUAAGUCAGUUGUGAAAGUUUGCGGCUCAACCGUAAAAUUGCAGUUGAAACUGGCAGUCUUGAGUACAGUAGAGGUGGGCGGAAUUCGUGGUGUAGCGGUGAAAUGCUUAGAUAUCACGAAGAACUCCGAUUGCGAAGGCAGUUCACUGGACUGCAACUGACACUGAGGCUCGAAAGUGUGGGUAUCAAACAGGAUUAGAUACCCUGGUAGUC